rnacentral:rRNA from 1 species
GAUGAACGCUGGCGGCGUGCCUAAUACAUGCAAGUCGAGCGAACAGACGAGGAGCUUGCUCCUCUGACGUUAGCGGCGGACGGGUGAGUAACACGUGGAUAACCUACCUAUAAGACUGGGAUAACUUCGGGAAACCGGAGCUAAUACCGGAUAAUAUAUUGAACCGCAUGGUUCAAUAGUGAAAGACGGUUUUGCUGUCACUUAUAGAUGGAUCCGCGCCGCAUUAGCUAGUUGGUAAGGUAACGGCUUACCAAGGCAACGAUGCGUAGCCGACCUGAGAGGGUGAUCGGCCACCCUGGAACUGAGCCACGGUCCAGACUCCUACGGGAGGCAGCAGUAGGGAAUCUUACGCAAUGGGAGAAAGCCUGACGGAGCAACGCCGCGUGAGUGAUGAAGGUCUUCGGAUCGUAAAACUCUGUUAUUAGGGAAGAACAAAUGUGUAAGUAACUAUGCACGUAUUGACGGUACCUAAUCAGAAAGCCACGGCUAACUACGUG